rnacentral:tRNA from 1 species
GAGGGUAGAGCUCAGUGGUAGACGGUGUGCCUAGCAAGCGCGAGGUCCUGGGUUCAAUCCCCAGUACCUCCA